rnacentral:rRNA from 1 species
CUCGUAGGCGGUUUGGUAAGUCGGGUGUGAAAACUCUGGGCUCAACCCAGAGAGGCCACCCGAUACUGCUAUGACUAGAGUACGGUAGGGGAGCGGGGAAUUCAUGGUGUAGCGGUGAAAUGCGCAGAUAUCAUGAGGAACGCCAGCGGCGAAGGCGCCGCUCUGGGCCGUAACUGACGCUGAGGAGCGAAAGCAUGGGUAGCAAACA